rnacentral:rRNA from 1 species
GUCCACGCUGUAAACGAUGGAUACUAGGUGUAGGAGGUAUCGACCCUUCUGUGCCGGAGUUAACACAAUAAGUAUCCCACCUGGGGAGUACGGCCGCAAGGUUGAAACUCAAAGGAAUUGACGGGGCCCGCACAAGCAGUGGAGUAUGUGGUUUAAUUCGAAGCAACGCGAAGAACCUUACCAAGGCUUGACAUACAGUGGAAUACGGCAGAGAUGUCGUAGCUCUUCGGAGCUGCUGUACAGGUGGUGCAUGGUUGUCGU